AUUGAACGCUGGCGGAAUGCUUUACACAUGCAAGUCGAACGAUGAACCUUAGCUUGCUACGGGGAUUAGUGGCGAACGGGUGAGUAAUAUAUCGGAACGUACCUUGUAAUGGGGGAUAACUAGUCGAAAGAUUAGCUAAUACCGCAUACGCCCUGAGGGGGAAAGUAGGGGAUCUUCGGACCUUACGUUAUAAGAGCGGCCGAUAUCUGAUUAGCUAGUUGGUGGGGUAAUGGCCUACCAAGGCGACGAUCAGUAGCUGGGCUGAGAGGACGACCAGCCACACUGGAACUGAGACACGGUCCAGACUCCUACGGGAGGCAGCAGUGGGGAAUUUUGGACAAUGGGCGCAAGCCUGAUCCAGCCAUUCCGCGUGAGUGAAGAAGGCCUUCGGGUUGUAAAGCUCUUUCGCAAGGGAAGAAAACUUACAUUCUAAUAAAGUGUGAGGCUGACGGUACCUUGAUAAGAAGCACCGGCUAACUACGUGCCAGCAGCCGCCGUAA
rnacentral:rRNA from 1 species